rnacentral:tRNA from 1 species
GCCUAACUGGCCCAGUCGGUUGAGUGUCUGACUUCGGUUCAGGUUAUGGUCUUGCGGUUCGUGGGUUCGAGCCCUGCGUCGGGCC